rnacentral:lncRNA from 10 species
CUCAGGUUGUGGUGACACUGGUCACCGUAGAGCUUCCACUUCUCAAACAGGAAGUCCAUCACCUGAGCGGAGGGGACCUGUGGCUGGGGGACACAUGCACAAGCAACCAGACAGACAGACAGACAGGCAGGCAGACAGACAGGCAGACAGACAGGCAGACAGGCAGGCAGGUAGAUGGAUAGGCAGAUGGACAGACAGGCAGACAGACAGGCAGACAGGCAGACAGACAGGCAGGCAGACGGACAGACAGAUAGGCAGGCAGAUGGAUAGGCAGAUGGACAGACGGACAGACAGGCAGACGGACAGGCAGACAGACAGGCAGACGGGCAGACAGGCAGACAGGCAGGCAGACAGGCAGGCAGACGGACAGGCAGACGGACAGGCAGGCAGACAGGCAGGCAGACAGACAGGCAGGCAGGCAGACGGACAGGCAGACGGACAGGCAGGCAGGCCGACAGACAGGCAGGCAGAUGGAUAGGCAGAUGGACAGAUGGACAGGCAGACAGACAGGCAGACGGACAGGCAGACAGGCAGGCAGAUGGAUAGGCAGAUGGACAGAUGGACAGACAGACGGACAGGCAGACAGACAGGCAGAUGGGCAGGCAGACGGGCAGACAGACAGACAGGCAGGCAGACAGGCAGGCAGGCAGGCAGGCAGACAGAGAGCCAUCAGUGUGCAGUCCUCACAGGAGGGCCCCUGGGUGCUGAGGGUGCUGUGAGUCCUCACCUGGCAGGCCAGCAGCAGCAGCAACAGCAGCAGGGGUCG